UUCUAUGAUUCUAUGAAGAGAAACACUGAGAGAAUCCAUCUUGCAUCACUGACACUCGGAACUGCUGAAGUUGAAGCAAAAGAAAGCACCUCGGAUCCUUUUUAUCCUCUGCUCCUGCAAUUUCUGCAUGUCCAAACAGAUUUUGGAGCCUGUUUAUAACUGAAGCCAAAGGAAUUUUGCCCCAGAGAAGACAGCUGGAUGCAGUCCCACAUUUCCCGUCUCCUGAAGAUGCCAGAAGCUGAGCACUUGCUUGCAGAGAGCCGAAGCCAUGGAGGGGAGCUGGGUGAAGUUGGUUUGUAGCUCUGCUGGAUGUAAGGGCACCUGGAGGUCCUCCACCAUGCUGCAGAGCCGUAUGGGAAGCCUUUGUGUGGUCCCCAUUCCCUCUGCUCUUGGGUAAUGCAAAAAUAGCCUGGAAAAGGGUGCAGUCCAUCCCCAUCCAGACCCAUCCUCAGCAACCCAAACAGCUACAGAAGGGACCGUGGUUUAAUUAAUUGCUUUGCAAGAAAGCUCUGUAGAGGGAAUGUCUGGUUCUGCCUUUUACAACACCUGGAGAUGUACUUCAUCUCAUCACCCAGACCAGAGCCUGGCUGCCAAGGAAGCUAAGGAAAUCAUCCAUUAACUGAUGGAAGACGAAGUGCAGAACGUGAACUAUGAGACUUACAGCUCCUUGGGGAGAGUGCGUGGAGCAUCACCCAUCCUGCAGGUGGGACAGGAGCCAGAUCCUCACCUGCUGUGAGCCAGCAGCACGUGGCCCAGGGCUGGGCACCAGCUAAGGUGUCCCCUGCUUCACCUGGGGCUGCAAUAGGGCUGUGCCGACUGUGAGCAACCUCACCACAAAGCCUUACACCAGAGCUUGAGGAGGUGUCACUACCAGGGCUUUCUCCCCAUCCUUGCAUAUAAAACACUUUGCAAAUGAAGUGUGAAGAUAAUAUGCUUUAUCAUAGGCAUUUAUUACUGGUGAUUGUUGAAUAAAUCUCCCUCCAUUCACAUACCUAUACAUAAGGUGUGUAUAAAUAUGCAGCCAGUAUCCGGC